GCUUAUCACCACUCCAGAUUGAAUAUACCCGAUCUCGUCUGAUCUCGGAAGUCAAGCAAUCUCGGGCUUGGUUAGUACUUGAAUGGGUGACCGCUUGGGAAUACCAAGUGUGAUAAGCA
rfam:Ciona savignyi cont_37964, whole genome shotgun sequence.